rnacentral:rRNA from 1 species
AAAUUGAAGAGUUUGAUCAUGGCUCAGAUUGAACGCUGGCGGCAGGCCUAACACAUGCAAGUCGAACGGUAACAGGAAGCAGCUUGCUGCUUCGCUGACGAGUGGCGGACGGGUGAGUAAUGUCUGGGAAACUGCCUGAUGGAGGGGGAUAACUACUGGAAACGGUAGCUAAUACCGCAUAACGUCGCAAGACCAAAGAGGGGGACCUUCGGGCCUCUUGCCAUCGGAUGUGCCCAGAUGGGAUUAGCUUGUUGGUGGGGUAACGGCUCACCAAGGCGACGAUCCCUAGCUGGUCUGAGAGGAUGACCAGCCACACUGGAACUGAGACACGGUCCAGACUCCUACGGGAGGCAGCAGUGGGGAAUAUUGCACAAUGGGCGCAAGCCUGAUGCAGCCAUGCCGCGUGUAUGAAGAAGGCCUUCGGGUUGUAAAGUACUUUCAGCGGGGAGGAAGGGAGUAAAGUUAAUACCUUUGCUCAUUGACGUUACCCGCAGAAGAAGCACCGGCUAACUCCGUGCCAGCAGCCGCGG